UUUUUUAAAGAAAAAGGCAUAAUUCAUCAGCGUUCUUGUCCAUAUACACCAGAACAAAAUGGUGUGGUGGAACGUAAUAAUAGACAUGUUGUUGAAACUGUCUUAUCCCUUCAUGAUACUUCAAAAGUUUCGAAAAUAUUUUGGGUUGAAGCAAUCCAAACAUCUAUUUAAAUCAUAAAUAGACAAUCAUCCUCGAUCAUGAAACAAAAUUGUCCUUAUUUUAUUCUUUUCAAAAAAAAAUUGUUUGACUUUUACAUCUUAAUGUAUUUGGUUGUGUGCUUUGUUCUUCUUCAAGGUCAUGAACGUCAUAAAUUAUCUUCAAAAGUCGUUAAAUGUGUUUUCUUAUGAUACAAUGAUAUUCAAAAGGGGUAUUUGUGUUAUGAUUCAACACGUCGUUCAUUAUGAAUCUCACGCUAUCUUCCUGCUGGUCCUUCGUCGACCAUGUCCUCUACCAUAUCAGAUUGCGAGCCUGGAUUUCUGUGGUACUUAUCAUUCUCUUCUUUUUCGAGGCUUCUUGGAGAUUUGUAAGGUAGUUGUUUGUCGUCUCAGUGGACUUUCUCUCUCCUUAGUUAUGAUCUUGUUCUAUUCUAGAAACAAGUUCAUUUGAGACUAGUGUUUGCUUUGAUUCAAUUGUAAUACUUUAGAGACUUGUACACGCGACAACCACGUUUUUGGGGUAGUUUUAAGUUGAUUGUAAAAUUUCCGCAUUUUUGGGUCGUGACAUGUGAGAAUGAUUUUGGGGUCUUCUUUUGAAAAAUUAAUUAUAUUAGGAUUGUAAAAUAAUUAUAAUUAUAUUAGGACACAUUAUAUUUGCUAAAA